UAGGGAAUCUUCGGCAAUGGACGGAAGUCUGACCGAGCAACGCCGCGUGAGUGAAGAAGGUUUUCGGAUCGUAAAGCUCUGUUGUAAGAGAAGAACGUGCGUGAGAGUAACUGUUCACGCAGUGACGGUAUCUAACCAGAAAGUCACGGCUAACUACGUGCCAGCAGCCGCGGUAAUACGUAGGUGGCAAGCGUUAUCCGGAUUUAUUGGGCGUAAAGCGAGCGCAGGCGGUUUGAUAAGUCUGAUGUGAAAGCCUUUGGCUUAACCAAAGAAGUGCAUCGGAAACUGUCAGACUUGAGUGCAGAAGAGGACAGUGGAACUCCAUGUGUAGCGGUGGAAUGCGUAGAUAUAUGGAAGAACACCAGUGGCGAAGGCGGCUGUCUGGUCUGCAACUGACGCUGAGGCUCGAAAGCAUGGGUAGCGAACAGGAUUAGAUACCCUGGUAGUCCAUGCCGUAAACGAUGAGUGCUAGGUGUUGGAGGGUUUCCGCCCUUCAGUGCCGCAGCUAACGCAUUAAGCACUCCGCCUGGGGAGUACGACCGCAAGGUUG
rnacentral:rRNA from 1 species